GUGGGGAAUAUUGGACAAUGGGCGCAAGCCUGAUCCAGCCAUGCCGCGUGAGUGAUGAAGGCCCUAGGGUUGUAAAGCUCUUUCGCCAGGGACGAUAAUGACGGUACCUGGAUAAGAAGCCCCGGCUAACUUCGUGCCAGCAGCCGCGGUAAUACGAAGGGGGCUAGCGUUGUUCGGAUUAACUGGGCGUAAAGCGCACGUAGGCGGAUCUUUAAGUCAGGGGUGAAAUCCCGAGGCUCAACCUCGGAACUGCCCUUGAUACUGGGGAUCUCGAGUUCGGGAGAGGUGAGUGGAACUGCGAGUGUAGAGGUGAAAUUCGUAGAUAUUCGCAAGAACACCAGUGGCGAAGGCGGCUCACUGGCCCGAUACUGACGCUGAGGUGCGAAAGCGUGGGGAGCAAACAGGAUUAGAAACCCUAGUAGUCC
rnacentral:rRNA from 1 species